CCAAGAAACCAACAACCAUCUAGAAAAGUAUUUGACCAUGCAAAUGAUCAAUUUUACCCGCAAUACACAGCCUGGUCUAUAUGUGGCGGAAUUUGCUUAAUCUCGGUUCCUAGCUCUUGUUCAAUUCUAUACAAAUUGAAGCGAUCCUCAAAAGUAAUUAGGUUGACAGCUAAACCCAGGUGACCGAAUCUCCCAGACCGCCCAACCCUGUGUAAAUAUGUUUCUGAGUUCUUUGGGAAAUCAAAGUU
rnacentral:misc_RNA from 1 species